rnacentral:rRNA from 1 species
UUAUCGGAAUGAGAACAAUUCAAAUCCUUUAACGAGGAUCUAGCGGAGGGCAAGUCUGGUGCCAGCAGCCGCGGUAAUUCCAGCUCCGCAGGUGUAUAUCUAUGCUGCUGCGGUUAAAAAGCUCGUAGUUGGAUCUGCGUGCUCGGAACUGGUUGGCUCACUGAGUUCAAACUGGUCUCCGGCGCUUUAUUGGCUGGUUUUCCCUUGAUGCUCUUAACCGGGUGUCUUGGGUGGCUAGCACGUUUACUUUGAAAAAAUUAGAGUGCUCAAUACAGGCGUAAAGCCUUGAAUAGUGGUGCAUGGAAUAAUAGAAUAGGACCUCGGCUCUAUUUUGUUGGUUUUCGGAACGCGAGGUAAUGAUUAAGAGGGACAGACGGGGGCAUUCGUAUUGCGACGUUAGAGGUGAAAUUCUUGGAUCGUCGCAAGACGGACGACUGCGAAAGCAUUUGGCAAGAAUGUUUUCAUUAAUCAAGAACGAAAGUUAGAGGUUCGAAGGCGAUCAGAUACCGCCCUAGUUCUAACCGUAAACGAUGCCAACUAGCGAUUCGCAGGCGUUAAACAACGACCUUGCGGGCAGCUUCCCGGAAACGAAAGUAUUCGGGUUCCGGGGGAAGUAUGGUUGCAAAGCUGAAACUUAAAGGAAUUGACGGAAGGGCACCACCAGGAGUGGAGCCUGCGGCUUAAUUUGACACAACACGGGAGAACUCACCCGGCCCGGACACCGUAAGGAUUGACAGAUUGAGAGCUCUUUCUUGAUUCGGUGGGUGGUGGUGCAUGGCCGUUCUUAGUUGGUGGAGCGAUUUGUCUGGUUUAUUCCGAUAACGAACGAGACUCUGGCCUACUAAAUAGUGGGCGGAUUCUUUCUGUCCGCAACACUUCUUAGAGGGACAAGCGGUGUUCAGCCGCACGAGAUUGAGCAAUAACAGGUCUGUGAUGCCCUUAGAUGUCCGGGGCUGCACGCGCGCUACACUGAAGGAAUCAGCGUGCUUUCUGACCUUGCCCGAAAGGGCUGGGUAACCCGAUGAAAAUCCUUCGUGAUUGGGAUAGGGACUUGCAAUUAUUUCCCUUGAACGAGGAAUUCCCAGUAAGUGUGGGUCAUAAGCUCGCGUUGAUUACGUCCCUGCCCUUUGUACACACCGCCCGUCGCUGCCCGGAACUGAGCCGUUUCGAGAAGAACAGGGACCGUCGUUGAAGGGCCUUAACGGGCUUUUCUCUGAUAGAAACUGUU